GACGAACGCUGGCGGCGUGCUUAACACAUGCGAGUCGAACGGAAAGGCCCUGCUUUUGUGGGGUGCCCGAGUGGCGAACGGGUGAGUAACACGUGAGUAACCUGCCCUUGACUUUGGGAUAACUUCAGGAAACUGGGGCUAAUACCGGAUAGGAGCUCCUGCUGCAUGGGGGGGGUUGGAAAGUUUCGGCGGUUGGGGAUGGACUCGCGGCUUAUCAGCUUGUUGGUGGGGUAGUGGCUUACCAAGGCUUUGACGGGUAGCCGGCCUGAGAGGGUGACCGGCCACAUUGGGACUGAGAUACGGCCCAGACUCCUACGGGUGGCAGCAGUGGGGAAUAUUGCACAAUGGGCGGAAGCCUGAUGCAGCAACGCCGCGUGCGGGAUGACGGCCUUCGGGUUGUAAACCGCUUUCGCCUGUGACGAAGCGUGAGUGACGGUAAUGGGUAAAGAAGCACCGGCUAACUACGUG
rnacentral:rRNA from 1 species